rnacentral:misc_RNA from 1 species
UGUUGAUUGUUGUAAAUCCCAAGUUAAUGCUGCCACAAACAGCAUAGAAGCUGUUAGGUUUUGCAAUGUCAUGAGUCUCGUUGAUACGCAUGAUUACAAUAGCUGUAUCCUUGUUUCUUUCUUAAUUUAUCUUUCAUUUUAUCAUCCAAGUUCUUGACUUUGUUGGUUGUGCUGACCUUGAGUUCCAAAGUUAUUCCGAGUGCUAGAUGCUGGAAUUUCACUACAAUAUGAAGGGGAAACACAAUCUCAAAUUUCAAGCAGAGAAAGGAUACAACGUACUUGGCUAUUUUAGGGACUUCUUUUGCUGGCUAUGAAGGUUCCAUUUCCACAGUUCAUCCAACUUUCAGGCUCAAUUCAAUACUCCGUUCUCUAUAGAAAACAGCUCGCGCUUACUCAUUAACAUAGAAAACCUGACUGUGAUCGUGAAAAUGUGAUCGCUAGCAGCAAAUGGAUACUUAUGGCCCCUUCGGCGCAACAAAUGGAUACUGUGAGCAACAGAAUCCGAACAUGCACCGAAUGAAACAGAAUGACAACACAAGCUUUUACAAUUAAUACAGACGUUCAAAAUAUUGAUCUCUACAGGUAGCGAAACAGUACUAUUCUUUAUGGAUGGGCUUGGAAGUUCAAAUAUCAAAACUCAACAUUCAAAUACGUGGCACUAGACUUGAGUCUAAACAUGUUGUAGACUUAUCCAAGGUGGCAGGCAUCUAGUUAACAUUACAUACGCCCGGCUUUCAUAUAAUUAGUAUAUAAAUACAUAUAUACCAUAGACCCUUGUAAUAGUUUCUAGUUGCUUAGCAUCUCACACUGCGACAAGACAUCACCUGGAGAAAUAUACCCUGCCAACACCAGCAGUUUAAAUGGUAGAUAGGAACAACAUUAUAAAACUACUCAUAUGACAACAAUAACUAAGCUAUAAUCCCAAACUAGUUAAGGCUAUCAUCGCCAUAUGGUAGCACAUGAAAAAUUAAGCAAAGGGAAAAUGAAAAUGAAACUAUGAAUUGACAAUACUUAGAAUACACCCUAAAACAAAAAUUAGAAUACACCUUAACGUUACAUAAUCACUCGGUAUACUUUUGCACGAUCGUCUGGAAAAAAAGGUUUAAGAAAAAGGUCAAUGCAUUUAAUGGGCCUUAUUAUGCAUUCCCCAUAUAUACAAAUCCGCUUCGAACCUUAAUGGUUUUCAGGGGCCGCAUAAGUUGGUGACUAAAUUUAUAACUGUUCUCAGUUAAGGUCAACUAUCAUAUCCCAAACUAAGACAUUCUACAUUUGGAGCACAGAAAAUGCCAUUGCUUGGAAAGUUUCCUUAUGGUUUUUUAAUGAUACAAUGAAAAGCUCGGCAAUAAUCAAACCUGGGAUGUUUCCUCCAGCAAUCCUGCUUUAACUUGUGGUAUUUCAGUAUUAUGUUUUAACUUACUAGUGUUAAAAAUCACUAUAGUAGUUUCAACGAUGAAAGUGUGCCACUGAGCACCUUAGUUUGGCAAUCUAAUCCUUCUGUUUCGGUCAUAUGUAAAUUUGCCUAAUUUCAUAUAUUAUAUAAAUUGCAUAUUUCCUAAAUAUUUAGGAUUUAUAUUCCUAUGGAGAGUCAAUUUUAUAUAUUUUCAUUAAAAAAAAGGGAAAUUUUGUGUUCCAAAAACCAUAAGAUUUUUUUCCCUGCAUCGUUACCCAAACCUUAGGUCACAGGUGACACUUUGAUCACACCGCCUGCCCUAGGAGCUAGAACGGUUGCCGACCGGCAUCCCUGCAAGUCCAGUGACCGGACGUUAAGCAAGUGGCGCUCACGCAUUGUUAUUGUAUCUUGAACCUCUCCCACGCACCGACAAGUGGCAGCACAUGGGCGACCGUUUUCUUCUCCACUCUCGUUUCCCAGCGUUGCCUCACCAUCCCCGUUCCAACCCUGUUCAUUGUUGCUUUGUCUGGUGCACCUUUGAAGGAGUUUUGAGAUUUGGUUCUUUGAUCACACUUGGGAACUUCUUGUUCUUUAGUCUUUUGGGACUUUAGAUUAUUUCUGUUAUGGGUUCUGCUGCUGUAAGAUUGUUAUCUGUUGGGUGCUUUAAGCUUUGGCGUACUGUUUCCGUUUGAAGGGCUUUGCCACUGCACUGGUUUUGCUUCUAUGAGAAUUGGUUAAUUUCAGUAAUUUUGUUUUUGGGGGCUCUAUUUUGUUGGUUGUGUCCAGGAUUUUUGAGCUAUUGUAAGGACUGUUUCGAGGGUGUUUUGGGUAAUUUUGAGCAGUCUUUGGGACAUAUUGUCACUACUUGGCCUCCUUUACUCGGUUCACUGUUUGAGAAAUUGCAGUUUGGAUAGCUAUAAGCUGUUUUGGUGAAGAUUCACCUACUGUUUGUUGUUUUCCCUCGCCGGCAUUGCCUUUGGAGAGGGAAGUGCAACCCAGUGAGUUGCUUUGAGUUAAUGUUUCCUCACCGGCAAUGCCUUUGGAGAGGGGUUUGUCUUUUGUGUUCGUAUCUUCGUGCCUUUGUGUAGGUGUUUCUCAUUCGGUACGGUACUACUACUUUGUGUUAUUGAACCAGAGGGAUCACUGGACCUAUUGCCGUCUUCUAAGAAGAAUCUCGUAAGGAGGAGUUUUGGAAUUGAUGAGAUUUCAUUUUAAGGGGAAGUGUUAUGGAAAGUCAAUUUUUUAUAUUCCUAUUUAAUAUAGGAAUUAUGUUCCUAAAUAGUUAUGAUUUAUAUUCCUAAUUAAGUAGA